UGCGUAGGGUACAAGCGUUGUCCGGAAUUAUUGGGCGUAAAGAGCUCGUAGGCGGUUUGUCGCGUCUGCUGUGAAAACUCGGGGCUUAACCCCGGGCCUGCAGUGGGUACGGGCAGACUAGAGUGCGGCAGGGGAGACUGGAAUUCCUGGUGUAGCGGUGAAAUGCGCAGAUAUCAGGAGGAACACCGGUGGCGAAGGCGGGUCUCUGGGCCGAUACUGACGCUGAGGAGCGAAAGCGUGGGGAGCAAACAGG
rnacentral:rRNA from 1 species